UGCACAUAUUGGGUGGCCAGAUGACAGCUC
rnacentral:piRNA from 1 species